rnacentral:rRNA from 1 species
UACGAAGGGGGCUAGCGUUGUUCGGAAUUACUGGGCGUAAAGCGCGUGUAGGCGGGUCUUUAAGUCAGGGGUGAAAUGCCAGGGCUCAACCUUGGAACUGCCUUUGAUACUGGAGACCUUGAGUCCGGGAGAGGUGAGUGGAAUUGCGAGUGUAGAGGUGAAAUUCGUAGAUAUUCGCAAGAACACCAGUGGCGAAGGCGGCUCACUGGCCCGGAACUGACGCUGAGACGCGAAAGCGUGGGGAGCAAACAGGGAUUAAGAAACCCUAGUAACGUCCGAGCAACCAACGAUCUCCUGCU